rnacentral:rRNA from 1 species
CCUACGGGCGGCAGCAGUGAGGAAUAUUGGUCAAUGGACGAGAGUCUGAACCAGCCAAGUAGCGUGAAGGAUGACUGCCCUAUGGGUUGUAAACUUCUUUUAUAUGGGAAUAAAAUGUUCCACGUGUGGGAUUUUGUAUGUACCAUAUGAAUAAGGAUCGGCUAACUCUGUGCCAGCAGCCGCGGUAAUACGGAGGAUCCGAGCGUUAUCCGGAUUUAUUGGGUUUAAAGGGAGCGUAGGUGGAUUGUUAAGUCAGUUGUGAAAGUUUGCGGCUCAACCGUAAAAUUGCAGUUGAAACUGGCAGUCUUGAGUACAGUAGAGGUGGGCGGAAUUCGUGGUGUAGCGGUGAAAUGCUUAGAUAUCACGAAGAACUCCGAUUGCGAAGGCAGUUCACUGGACUGCAACUGACACUGAGGCUCGAAAGUGUGGGUAUCAAACAGGAUUAGAUACCCUUGUAGUC